rnacentral:rRNA from 1 species
AUUGAACGCUGGCGGCAUGCUCUACACAUGCAGGUCGAACGGUAACAGGCCGCAAGGUGCUGACGAGUGGCGAACGGGUGAGUAAUGCAUUGGAACGUGCCCAGUCGUGGGGGAUAACUACUCGAAAGAGUAGCUAAUACCGCAUACGAUCUAUGGAUGAAAGCGGGGGACCGUAAGGCCUCGCGCGAUUGGAGCGGCCGAUGUCAGAUUAGGUAGUUGGUGGGGUAAAGGCUCACCAAGCCAACGAUCUGUAGCUGGUCUGAGAGGACGACCAGCCACACUGGGACUGAGACACGGCCCAGACUCCUACGGGAGGCAGCAGUGGGGAAUUUUGGACAAUGGGCGCAAGCCUGAUCCAGCAAUGCCGCGUGCAGGAAGAAGGCCUUCGGGUUGUAAACUGCUUUUGUACGGAACGAAACGGCUCUGGUUAAUACCCGGGGCUAAUGACGGUACCGUAAGAAUAAGCACCGGCUAACUACGUG